rnacentral:lncRNA from 10 species
UAACAAGACAACUGUUUGCAGAAGUCUUUCGAUACUGGAAAAUGCUGUGAUUCUGUGGACGCCUGAAGGAGCAGCAGCCCCGGGUAUCUGAUAAUAUGACAGAAUGACAGCUAUUGACUAGAGAGCUUAAUCCGUACCUGUUUACAGAAACCACUAUGGUGUCGCCCUGUCGCUGUUUGAACAUCACUAUGCCAUGGACCCUGUUGGACUGAACAGAGGAGGAUGAAUGUGGAAAUAAAGACAAAAGAGUAUAUUUGGAAGAAGGGGUCAGGGGCACCUUGCUCUUUGUGAACAAAGGCCCUGAGCCUUGAGCUUCCUUUGUAUUUACUGAGAAGAGAUAGCAAGAAGGGGGUCGUUGUCGGUCUGCUGCUUGCUCCAGAGCAGCCUUCCAAGACUGCAUUCCUUGAACAAUAGAUUCUAGAUGUCCCAGUAGAUAACCUGAAGGAGCUCAGCGCCAGGGAGUGAUUGCCCUCAGCAAACCUUCUGGUGGCCAGCACAGAGGAGAGUUUGCCCCUGCUCUGUAUUCAUGAUAAACAGUUUGCUGUUUGAUCAUAUUGCCUCAGUGGAAAUUCUGAGUUGGUCAUGAUUCUCCAGCCUCUGGCUCUCUACACUGAAUGGAUUCAACAAGAAAGUGGUUGAAUUUAUGCAACUGUCUAGUUAUUUAUAAUGAAACAAGCAAAAAUUAGCCAUAAAGAAGUGAAUUGGGUGAUGAUUGUAUAAAAGAUGUGAGUCUAGGCCAGGCAUGGUGGCUCUCGCCUGUAAUCCCAGCAAUUU